AAGACUCUGAACCCUCUCUAACCUGGUAAUACCAGACACCUCUCUUCUUUGGUCUCCAGCAUCUCCUUCUGAAUCACUAUGUCAGCUUUGCAAAGAGAAGGGAGAGGAAGAAGUGAUCUGCAACAGCCAAAAAAGCUUGGUGGAGUGGAUGGAAGAUGAAUGACAGCAGUUGCAAUGCAGCCUUGGGGAACGGCUCCAGAGCUGUUCUUAACAACUCCUUUACCUCUAAGCCAGGCUCCCUGGAGCUACAUACUAUUGCAGACAAGGUGACGAAGAGUUCUGUACAUGGGCCACAAGGAGAAAGGAAGGUCAAAUGGCUUUCUGAAUUGUAGCCUCAGUGACUGCUGGGACAGCUGUAGCUUCCUCUAUCUGCUCCAUACUUUUUUUGUUUCUUUGUAAUGUAGUAAAGUCUCCUACUGACCAUAGAAUCAUUCAGGUUGGAAAAGAUCUUUAAGGUCGUCCAUUCUGACCAUGCAACUAGCACCAGUGUUACCUGCUAAACUAAGUCCCUGAGCACUGAAUCUACCUUUUCCUUAAAUACCUUGUGGGACAGUGACUGUACCAGCUCCCUAGGCAGCUAAUUACAAUGC
rnacentral:lncRNA from 1 species